GCAGAUAUCAGUCUCACCUACAAUGAUAAGACAACUAAACCAGUAACCAUGCGAAGACGAGAAGCUGACACUUAAGUUCUCUUGCCUUCACAAGAACAUCAAUUUUGUCACCUUAGUCAUGCUCGGUGAACCUGAGUACAUAUGAACAAAUGCAACACACGUGUCAGCAUCCCUAGAGUGAGAUAUAAAAAGAUCUAAAGAAUUCCCUAUAGAGAAUGACAUCAACUGCAACUCUUGAAACAAAUUAUGCAUUAUUUAAAUCAAAAGUUCUAUAAUUCCUUCUUCUAUAAAUGAACUAUUACGCAAUUAGCACUACCCAAAAUUAUAUGCAGACACUACAGUUAACAAGACCUAAGCCUUGAAAGCAAAUUCUUGAAAAAGAAAACUCGAAAGAAAUUCCUUUUAAUCAUUUCCCACAAAAAGCUACGUGAAAUGUUUUCACAUUUAGUAGAUAAACCUUAACCGAAAGGGAAGUAGAUACAAGAGAAAAUUGGAAGUUGGAUCGGAGAAGAUCUGUGCCUGUGGAUUCUGAGCUUGGCCCUUAGGCACGUGUAAUAAACCGUUCUCCUGCAAUUUCAAUUAAAAAUGUUUCCCAUUUAGUAACGAUUGCAUAACUCAUUCGUGGCUAGCACCCACUCAGAAGGGCAUAACAAUGAGUAGAAAGUGUAUAAUAUAUAUAUGUCCAGAAACAAUUCCACUGUUAAGAAAGAGCAGAGUUUGAGGUUCAAACAUGCUUCACUUGUUCUACUUGCUUACUCUUGAUAAUAUUCACUUUCUCUUUCUUAAUCUAAUCUUAACUACACUUACUGGUGUUCUUAAAACUAAUUAUCGAGAUCUAAAGAAGAAUAUUCAACUAAUCACCCCCAAAAACAUAAAUUCGAGUCUAUAAUCUCAACUAAACCACAAGCACCAGUAGGAAAAACACAUUGAGAAUACAAUUUCUCACCUCGUUGCUGUAGUAGUUAUUACGAGCACGGAACGACUUAACAGGGAUGAAAUUCGCGGCCGCCCUCAGAUUCCGUGCCCUAAGUUCCUAAUUAUCAGUUGCCUGUGAAACAAAAAACCAAUUCGCAGAUUAAAUAAAUCGCCAUACACUAUUACGCGCCAGUACUCGAACAAAUAGCAAAAAACGAAUGAGAAAUUAC
rnacentral:lncRNA from 1 species